UACGGGGGGUGCGAGCGUUGUCCGGAUUCACUGGGCGUAAAGGGUGCGUAGGCGGCCGUGCAAGUCUGGCGUGAAAGCCCCGGGCUCAGCCCGGGAAGUGCGCUCGAAACUGCGCGGCUCGAGUGCCGGAGGGGAGAGUGGAAUUCCUGGUGUAGCGGUGAAAUGCGUAGAUAUCAGGAGGAAUACCGGUGGCGAAAGCGACUCUCUGGACGGCAACUGACGCUGAGGCACGAAAGCGUGGGGAGCAAACAGG
rnacentral:rRNA from 1 species